AGCACCACAACGGGUGGAGCUUGCGGUUUAAUUGGAUUCGACGCCGGAAAUCUUACCGGGACCGACAGCAAUAUGAAGGCCAGGCUGAAGACUUUGCCGGAUUAGCUGAGAGGUGGUGCAUGGCCGUCGUCAGUUCGUACUGUGAAGCAUCCUGUUAAGUCAGGCAACGAGCGAGACCCACGCCCACAGUUGCCAGCGUACUCUCUGGAGUGACGGGUACACUGUGGGGACCGCCGCUGCUAAAGCGGAGGAAGGAAUGGGCAACGGUAGGUCAGUAUGCCCCGAAUAUCCCGGGCUACACGCGAGCUACAAUGGUUGGUACAAUGGGUAUCUACCCCGAAAGGGGACGGGAAUCUCCUAAAACCAAUCUUAGUUCGGAUUGAGGGCUGCAACUCGCCCUCAUGAAGCUGGAAUCCGUAGUAAUCGCGUUUCAACAGAACGCGGUGAAUACGUCCCUGCUCCUU
rnacentral:rRNA from 1 species